UGGGGAAUUUUGGACAAUGGGCGCAAGCCUGAUCCAGCCAUGCCGCGUGCGGGAAGAAGGCCUUCGGGUUGUAAACCGCUUUUGUCAGGGAAGAAAUCUUCUGAGUUAAUACCUCGGGAGGAUGACGGUACCUGAAGAAUAAGCACCGGCUAACUACGUGCCAGCAGCCGCGGUAAUACGUAGGGUGCAAGCGUUAAUCGGAAUUACUGGGCGUAAAGCGUGCGCAGGCGGUUUUGUAAGACAGAGGUGAAAUCCCCGGGCUCAACCUGGGAACUGCCUUUGUGACUGCAAGGCUUGAGUGCGGCAGAGGGGGAUGGAAUUCCGCGUGUAGCAGUGAAAUGCGUAGAUAUGCGGAGGAACACCGAUGGCGAAGGCAAUCCCCUGGGCCUGCACUGACGCUCAUGCACGAAAGCGUGGGGAGCAAAACAGGAUUAGAUACCCUGGUAGUCCACGCCCUAAACGAUGUCAACUGGUUGUUGGGAAGGUUCCUUCUCAGUAACGUAGCUAACGCGUGAAGUUGACCGCCUGGGGAGUACGGCCGCAAGGUUGAAACUCAAA
rnacentral:rRNA from 1 species